rnacentral:rRNA from 1 species
AUUGAACGCUGGCGGCAUGCUUUACACAUGCAAGUCGAACGGCAGCACGGGGGCAACCCUGGUGGCGAGUGGCGAACGGGUGAGUAACACAUCGGAACGUGUCCCUUGGUGGGGGAUAACCAGUCGAAAGACUGGCUAAUACCGCAUAAGCUCGCAAGAGGAAAGCAGGGGACCUGCAAGGGCCUUGCGCGAUUGGAGCGGCCGAUGUCCGAUUAGCUAGUUGGUAGGGAAAGGCCUACCAAGGCGACGAUCGGUAGCUGGUCUGAGAGGAUGAUCAGCCACACUGGGACUGAGACACGGCCCAGACUCCUACGGGAGGCAGCAGUGGGGAAUAUUGGACAAUGGGCGCAAGCCUGAUCCAGCGAUGCCGCGUGUGUGAAGAAGGCCUGCGGGUUNUAAAGCACUUUCAGUAGGAAGAAAAGCCGAGUGCUAAUAUCACUCGGUCUUGACGUUACUUAC